UACAGAGACUGCAAGCGUUACUCGGAUUCACUGGGCGUAAAGGGAGCGCAGGCGGACCGGUGUGUCAGAUGUGAAACCCCAGGGCUCAACCCUGGGACUGCGUCUGAAACUGCCGGUCUAGGGACUCGGAGGGGCUAGUGGAAUUCCUGGUGGAGCAGUGAAAUGCGUAGAUAUCAGGAGGAACACCAACGGCGAAGGCAGCUAGCUGGACGAGAUCCGACGCUCAGGCUCGAAAGUAUGGGGGAGCAAAAAGG
rnacentral:rRNA from 1 species